rnacentral:rRNA from 1 species
GACGAACGCUGGCGGCGUGCCUAAUACAUGCAAGUGGGACGCAAGGGAACACACUGUGCUUGCACACCGUGUUUUCUUGAGUCGCGAACGGGUGAGUAACGCGUAGGUAACCUGCCUAUUAGCGGGGGAUAACUAUUGGAAACGAUAGCUAAUACCGCAUAAUAUUAAUUAUUGCAUGAUAAUUGAUUGAAAGAUGCAAGCGCAUCACUAGUAGAUGGACCUGCGUUGUAUUAGCUAGUUGGUAAGGUAAGAGCUUACCAAGGCGACGAUACAUAGCCGACCUGAGAGGGUGAUCGGCCACACUGGGACUGAGACACGGCCCAGACUCCUACGGGAGGCAGCAGUAGGGAAUCUUCGGCAAUGGACGAAAGUCUGACCGAGCAACGCCGCGUGAGUGAAGAAGGUUUUCGGAUCGUAAAGCUCUGUUGUAAGUCAAGAACGUGUGUGAGAGUGGAAAGUUCACACAGUGACGGUAGCUUACCAGAAAGGGACGGCUAACUACGUGCCAGCCGCCGCCGUAACAC